rnacentral:lncRNA from 1 species
AGAACUCUGGUCUCUGUCCUGAAUGCCUCCUCUUCUCCUGCUCUCAAAGCUCGAAUCAGAAGCAGGAGCUUUGAGGAAGAAGGAAAGAGAAGGUCCCGAGGUGAUGCAUCUGGGUCUGUGCCCAGACAGAUGGUCUUCCCACGCAUGGCCUCCCUGUCUCCUUCUGUCUCGAAGCACCUACACAGGCACCCACUAGAGCCCACACAGCGCUGUCCCCUGCUCCCAUCUCAGACACAGGGCCAAGUCACUGCCCGUUACAGUCUGGUCCUUUGGGGGAUAACGUCUUAUAAAUCCUGGUGUUUUCUUGUCAUAGUCUCAA